UGGGGAAUAUUGCACAAUGGGCGAAAGCCUGAUGCAGCGACGCCGCGUGAGGGAUGACGGCCUUCGGGUUGUAAACCUCUUUCAGCAGGGGCGAAGCGCAAGUGACGGUACCUGCAGAAGAAGCACCGGCUAACUACGUGCCAGCAGCCGCGGUAAUACGUAGGGUGCAAGCGUUGUCCGGAAUUACUGGGCGUAAAGAGUUCGUAGGCGGUUUGUCGCGUCGUUUGUGAAAACCAGCAGCGCAACUGCUGGCUUGCAGGCGAUACGGGCAGCAUUGAGUACUGCAGGGGAGACUGGAAUUCCUGGUGUAGCGGUGAAAUGCGCAGAUAUCAGGAGGAACACCGGUGGCGAAGGCGGGUCUCUGGGCAGUAACUGACGCUGAGGAUCGACAGCGUGGGUAGCGACCAGG
rnacentral:rRNA from 1 species